GUGGAACUGGGGGUUGGUCAGAAUGAGUUCAAAAUUGAUUUUUAAUUCUGCCAUUUUUGGUUUUAUUGGACACCCUGGGUAAUGCAGAGCUGGGGGUUGGUCAGAAUGAGCUCAGUUUUUGAUUUUUAAUUUUGCCUUUUUUGUGUUUUAUUGCAGGUACUGAGCAGAGAGAGAAGGCGAGGAAGGAUCUGCCAGAGAAAAAGGACCGAAAUUCCUCCAAAUCCCCCCCAGGGAAUUGCCGGGAGCAGAAAGGAGCAGCGAGGGAGAGGAGGAGGAGCCGGGAUGAGCCCGAGGGGGCGGAAAUGCAGGAAAAGGUGACCGAGCCCCAGAGGGCAGAAGGCAAAGGUUCCACGCUGGAGCAGCCUCCGAGUGAGUUUUAUUUUGCUUUUUUUUCCUUUUAAUCAAGUCUGAGCCACUUCUUCCUCUGCUGUGCCGUAAUUAAUGACCAGAAGUUAAUUUCCUGUCAUUUCCACAACAAUGAGCAAUCAGCUUUUACUUCUUCCUUUGACACUUCUCUGUUUCUGUCUCAAUUCCUCAGUGCUUUUGCAAUUUCAAUCUCCUUGACUGAAUCCAGAACUGAAACUGGAAUUAAAGAGUAAAAUCUGAAAAUGCUUUCCCUCCUCCUGACAAAUUAAACAGGAAUUCUUUAUUUCAAUAUUUACAAUUCAUUUGUGGUUAACAAAUGCUCCAUCAAAAAAUAAUUCUGCAGGUGUAGAGGAAAGAGGCCAUGAAAUAUUUGUCAGGGUGGAUUUUUAGCUGCAGACUUGCAGAGUUGUGUGGUUUCUUGCUCAUGUUUGGG
rnacentral:lncRNA from 1 species